GGUCGACUCGCCGAUCCGGCCGGAAUGGGUUGUGGAGGGCGACCCGGUGGCCAGGAUUCACGAAUGGACGAUCAGUUCCGAUCUGCUGUCGACCAC
rnacentral:tRNA from 1 species